ensembl:lncRNA
UAUCAGUCCUCCACAGCAACAAGGAAAGGUUCGGAGUCAUCCAGAUAAAAUGAGAUUCAUUGUCUUGAUCACCAUCAUCGUCACUGUAGCCCUUAUUGAUGGGGGCAGCAGCAUGACCGCGGGGCCUUCAUCACCGUGUCAGGACAAAAGUCCCAAAAGUCAUUAUGAAGAAUUUGUAAGCAGACACAUCCUUCAAGAGGAAUUUGACAGAAAUUCCCUAGAUGCUUGGAAAAGGUAUUUGAAAAAAGAACACCUCUGGUGCAGAACUACAGUGCAAUCGUUCCUCAAUAAAAGUGAUCUGGAGACCGUGAACAGAAUCUGCAGCAAAGACGGGCGACGCUUAAGCAAGACGGAUAACUAUGCAGGGAACUUGUGCAUCAGCAACUCAGAAAUGCUGAUAUAUGACAUCGCAUCCAGGAAAAGGAACAAGGAUUGUAAAAUUAAAAUUGGUGCAAAGAAAAGGGUUGUGAUUGUGGCAUGCGACAAGGUUGGAAACCAAUGUCUCCCUGUUCAUUUUCAGAAAUAUGAACACCAGAGAGCAAGCAAUAUACCCUGCAGUCCUGCAAGGAAUUUCGGUAUUGUGGUAGAAUAGCUUUCCACUGAUUAAUUUCUAAAUUCAGCAACUUUGCAUCGUGUUAGUGCUUUAACCCUUUAUUUACCAAGUAGUAACUUAUUUGGUAAUUUUGUCUGUAAAGGGGUCUUAAAUCAUACUAUAUGUGAAUGCUUUUGCCAUUCUUUUUUUUCAGAAUAACCUCAACUUUCAAUAUCUGGCAGUCAUUCUACAUCACUGUAUUGUUAUGGCAAUGCAACAACAGUUUACGUGGGGAAAAAAUAAAUUAAAAAAGGAUCAGAUUUCGAGUUAAGUGAUAUUCAACACGAACAAAAUGUAACACAACAUCAAGUUUAAAUAUGAACUGUACUAAAUAUAAUGUAUAAAAAAGUGUUUACACCUAGAUCACUUCCCUCAAGCUCAAAGAGUUGAUGAGUUACAGUAGUACAAAGCUCACGUGAUAAAUUCUAGGCAGAGUUGAGUUUUCUUUCUGUGUUCAGAUAGCAUUAGCAUUAGCAUCAGCUUGUCUUUUUUUGAAACCAUUCACAUUUUUCCCUAGCAUAAACGACGAGAUAGUUACAGUCAUUUAAACAGAGCUUGGAAAAUGGGCCUGUCAGCUGGCUAAUGGUGAAUAAAGGGUUAAUGAAUUUUUCUUUAGUUUUCUUUUGAUACAUUAUUGAAAAAAGAAUCAUAGAGAGUUUGAAAACAAAUGCAGCAUCCAAAUUUCUAGUAUUUAAUCUGUGUAAGAAACAUCUGUUUAAUGAGUACUUCUAACUAGCUGUAUAAUAUUUGGAUUUUAGAACUACUUAGUUUGUAGUUGUGUUUUUGAUAGUAAGACCACUCCCACUUGUAUCAUUCAAAAUAAAAACUGAUGUUUUUUUUAUUUGUAUCCACAAAAACAGAAUGGUGUAACCUUGUUCCUGUUUAUUAGAUAAAGUAGUGUAGCACAGCAACACAGUCUUGAUUUUGGUUUGCUUAAUUAAACUUAAUUUACAUCCAUAUUUGUUUAUAAUCACAAAACUCUACUUUAGUGGCAAUAAGUACUUGAAAAAAAAACAUAGUUACAAUCUUCUCUUGUAUGUUUA